rnacentral:sRNA from 1 species
UUGGAAGGUNAAAGUCGUAACAAGGUUUCCGUAGGUGAACCUGCGGAAGGAUCAUUACAGAAUGAAAAGUGCUUAACUGCAUUUUUUCUUACACAUGUGUUUUUCUUUUUUUGAAAACUUUGCUUUGGUAGGCCUUCUAUAUGGGGCCUGCCAGAGAUUAAACUCAACCAAAUUUUAUUUAAUGUCAACCGAUUAUUUAAUAGUCAAAACUUUCAACAACGGAUCUCUUGGUUCUCGCAUCGAUGAAGAACGCAGCGAAAUGCGAUAAGUAAUAUGAAUUGCAGAUAUUCGUGAAUCAUCGAAUCUUUGAACGCACAUUGCGCCCUUUGGUAUUCCAAAGGGCAUGCCUGUUUGAGCGUCAUUUCUCCCUCAAACCCUCGGGUUUGGUGUUGAGCGAUACGCUGGGUUUGCUUGAAAGAAAGGCGGAGUAUAAACUAAUGGAUAGGUUUUUUCCACUCAUUGGUACAAACUCCAAAACUUCUUCCAAAUUCGACCUCAAAUCAGGUAGGACUACCCGCUGAACUUAAGCAUAUCAAUAAGCNGGAGGAA